rnacentral:lncRNA from 1 species
GCAAACAGAUAUCCAAGGUGAUCAAUUUAGCACACUUCCACUGAAGAGAUGUGAAGUGUACGUUCAACUGAAUUGUCCUCGUAAUUGUGUGCCUUCUCAGUAAUUGGGCAAGUUAAAGAGCAUGAUGAGUGUUUGUAGUAUAAUGGUGUAAAUCCUUUUGAUUUGUUGCAUGAAAGACAUGUGGGAUCAUGUGGCACCUGCUUUGAGAUUGAUUCUCAGGUGUAUGAGUUGCUUCUCUGAUUUUAGAUCACUUUGUCCUCAUCACUCGGCAUAUCCACGUUGAUACUGACACGGUUUUAUUUUAGUUUUGGACAUAUGACAAAUCAUACCAUGUUUGAAAUUCUAAGACUAUAUUUCAUGGAGCCUGUGUUCCCUUUUCUCAGCGUAUUUCUGUCAUGUUCUAGUCCCCAGACACAAAGUAGAAACCAUCAAAGCCUACGCUAAUACAGGCAGGAGGACAGAGGUUGAUGCUAACACUGCAUGAAUGUGUGGAUAAUAUUGUCAUUUUUACAUAUGAGUGAUUAUGAAUCCCUUUUACUUUUCAGUGUCUUCUGAGAAACCAUCAGGCUUGAAGGUAAUGAAACUGUCAUUUAUAUUGUGACCUAGUAAAUGUAUAGUCUAUGAAACAUACUUUAUUAAUUUAUUACUUUAUUUCAAAUUCCAUUCAGGCUACAAGUAACGAGAAAGAUUCUCUUUUGAAUAUAGCCAGAGGAAAAAAGCAUGGAGAAAAAACUAGGAGAGUGUCUUCUCGGAAAAAACCAGCCUUGAAGGCUACAAGUGAUGGGAAAGAUUCUUUUUCAAAUAUAACCAGAGAAAGAAAGGAUGGAGAAAUAUCUAGGACAGUGUCUUCUGAGCAACCACCAGGCUUGAAGGCUACAAGUGACGAGAAAAAUUCUAUUUUGAAUAUAACCAGAGGAAAAAAGCAUGGAGAAAAAACUAGGAGAGUGUCUUCUCAUAAACAACCAGCCUUGAAGGCUACAAGUGACAAGGAAGAUUCUAUUCCAAAUAUAGCCACAAAAACAAAGGACGAACAAAUAUCUGGGACAGUGUCUUCUCAGAAACAACCAGCCUUGAAGGCUACAAGUGACAAGAAAGAUUCUGUUUCGAAUAUACCCACAGAAAUAAAGGAUGGACAACACUCUGGAACAGUGUCUUCUCAGAAACAACCAGCCUGGAAGGCUACAAGUGUCAAGAAAGAUUCUGUUCGGAAUAUAGCCACAGAAAUAAAGGAUGGACAAAUACCUGGGACAGUGUCUUCUCAGAGACGACCAGCCUUGAAGGCUACAGGUGAUGAGAAAGAUUCUGUUUCGAAUAUAGCCAGAAAAAUAAAGGAUGGAGAAAAAUCUGGGACAGUGUCUCCUCAGAAACAAUCGGCCCAGAAGGUUAUAUUUAAAAAGAAAGUUUCUCUUUCGAAUAUUGCCACAAGAAUAACAGGCGGUUGGAAAUCUGGAACAGAGUAUCCUGAGAAUCUGCCCACCUUGAAGGCUACAAUUGAAAAUAAAGAUUCUGUUCUGAAUACAGCCACCAAAAUGAAGGAUGUACAAACAUCCACACCAGCAGAACAAGACUUAGAAAUGGCAUCAGAGGGAGAGCAAAAGAGGCUUGAAGAAUAUGAAAAUAACCAGCCACAGGUGAAAAACCAAAUACAUUCUAGGGAUGACCUUGAUGACAUAAUUCAGUCAUCUCAAACAGUCUCAGAGGACAGUGACUCGCUUUGCUGUAAUUGUAAGAAUGUCAUAUUACUCAUUGAUCAACAUGAAAUGAAGUGCAAAGGUAGGACCAAUGCAUAAAUAUAAGGCUUUUAAAAAAUCCUAUAGCAAUGUAUGCACACAUUGCUUAGCACUGUACCAUAGAGUACUGAUAUGUUACAAGAAUGUUCAUCUCAGAAAUAUGCCUUAUGUUAAAAUAGAAUGAAAGCAACUGUAUCUUGUACCUUCUCAGCCAAAGAGCUAUGAUCAUUUCACUGUACUUUUCUCAGUGUGAAUGGCACGCCCAAUGUGUUUGUUUACUCUGCUUCUCGUCUAUGCCAUUACCCAUUUACCCGUGGUCAUGUUACCAUUUCUUCCCACCUGAAAUACUGUGAUAACCCUCUAACUGUCUUUCCUACUAUUCCACCUUCCAAAACCAUGGCCUGUUCUGCAAUCAUAAUUAUAUAGUUGUAAAAAAUCACACCUGAUCAUGUUACCUGCUUGCUGAAAACCCAGCUGCCAUUUAUUGCUAUAAGGUAUGGAUCUCAGUCCUCGAGCUUUAUACUGCAUCAUUGCAUACCCUUCUCUGUGCCACAGCCAGUGCCUUAGGUGUUUGCUCCUACAAUCAGUAGCUUUAGUGUGGUAUAAUUGAUAUGUGAUACAGUGCACACAUGUAAAAGGUACCAUUUGAUAAGUUUUAACAGAUGUAUACACAUGUGAAACUAUUACCAUCAUCGAGAUAGUCAACAUAUAUCCAUCACCCGCUAAUUUCUCCUCAUGGCCCUUCAUAUUCCUGUUUUUAAAAGCUGCUAAAUGGUUUUCCAAAAUAUUUGUACUAUUUUCUAUUCUCAUCAGCAGUAAAUGACCAUUCCAGUUGCUAUGUUGUCACACUACUGCUGUAUUUACUUUUUUAAAUUUUAGUUAUUCUGAUGGGUAUAUUAUGUAUAUUUUUAUGGGUUUAAUGUACACAAUCCUAAUGACUAAAAUGUUGAGCAUCUUUCCUUUAUUUGCCAUCUGUACAUCUUUGUUGAACUGUCUUUUCACAUCUUUUGCAUAUAAAAAAGUAGGUUGAUGUUUUCUUACUUGUUGAGUUUUAAUAAUUCUGUAUGUAUUUGGAUACUAUUACUUUUUAGCUACUUUUUUACAAGGGUAUUUUUGCCAGUUUUUGGGUUGACUUUUCACUUGCUUUGUAGUAUCUUUUGAAGAGCAGAAGAUUUUAAUCGUAAUGAAAUCCAAUUUAAUUGUUGAAUUACAGAUUUUGCAUUUUGUGUCAUAUGUAAAAAAUGUUGGCCUAGCACAAGGUCACAAAGAUUUUUCCUGUGUUUGUUCUAGAAAUUUUAUAGAUUUGUAUCUUCCAUUUAAAUCUGUGCUCCAUUUUGAGUUUCCUUUUGUCUAUGGAGUGAGGUGAGGUAUGGAUUCAAGUUCACUUUUUGGAUAUGGACAGCCAAUUGUUCCAACACCACAUGUUGAAAAGGCUAUCCUUUCUCCACUGCAUUGCCAUCCUGCCUUUGUCAGUCAUAAGCUGGUUGCAUAUGUGUUAUCUAUUUCUGGACUGUCUGUUGAAUUUUAUUAAUUUGCAGAAUGCUCCCGAAAUCUGUGGGAAACCCAGUGUUAUGACAAAAGCAAUUUAAUACUUCAGUAAACCCACUGUAAAGUCAAUAAGUCAAACCACCUUAAGUUGGGGAUUGUCUGAAUUUGACUUCUUUAUACAGGUGAGACAUUGCUA